AAUUUACAAAAGAUUUUAUUCACUUCAACAACUCUAUAGCAACUGUUUUCUCUUCUCCUUUCUCUUUUUAUUCAUUUUUUUUCUUUUUCAGAAGGAGUGUGUAUUGAUUGACAUCCUUCUAUUUUUUUCAUUCAUUUUUUUUCUUUUCUAUUUUUCUUUUCUUUUUCUGCCAACUUCUGAAAUAUUACAAGCAUAAUUAUUCAACCCUACACAAUUCCAAACAAGACCCUUCCAACCCUUUGAAUAGGGUGAUAACAUUAUUUUUCACUUUUCGGUUUGUAAUGAGUUUUAAAUAAAAA
rnacentral:lncRNA from 1 species